rnacentral:sRNA from 1 species
UAUAUAUGCAUGUGUACGAGAAUUAGAGUAGAAAAAAAUAUUUUGAAACAAAAUCUUAUACCAAUUCCAGCAGCAUCCAUAGAUUCACCAACUUUACUGAUAUCAUCAGAUCCAUCUCGUUUAUUUAGACUAUCGAGAAUGGCUACAAAAUACAAACGAACAUCGGGCCAUCUUCAAUAAGUAGAUAGCUUUAACCCUAUUAAUAAACAGCUUUGACAGUACUAUACCUUCAAGGUCACGGUUUACUUCGUCCAUACUCGAACUUUGACCUAAUUCUUCACGACUACUAACAGCUUCAGACUACAGAUCCAAAGUACAAAACACAAUAUUAAUUAGAUGCAUA